GAUGAACGCUGGCGGCGUGCCUAAUACAUGCAAGUCGAGCGAACAGAUAAGGAGCUUGCUCCUUUGACGUUAGCGGCGGACGGGUGAGUAACACGUGGAUAACCUACCUAUAAGACUGGGAUAACUUCGGGAAACCGGAGCUAAUACCGGAUAAUAUUUUGAACCGCAUGGUUCAAUAGUGAAAGACGGCUUUGCUGUCACUUAUAGAUGGAUCCGCGCCGCAUUAGCUAGUUGGUAAGGUAACGGCUUACCAAGGCAACGAUACGUAGCCGACCUGAGAGGGUGAUCGGCCACACUGGAACUGAGACACGGUCCAGACUCCUACGGGAGGCAGCAGUAGGGAAUCUUCCGCAAUGGGCGAAAGCCUGACGGAGCAACGCCGCGUGAGUGAUGAAGGUCUUCGGAUCGUAAAACUCUGUUAUCAGGGAAGAACAAAUGUGUAAGUAACUGUGCACAUCUUGACGGUACCUGAUCAGAAAGCCACGGCUAACUACGUG
rnacentral:rRNA from 1 species